rnacentral:rRNA from 1 species
GAUGAACGCUGGCGGCGUGCCUAAUACAUGCAAGUCGAGCGAACGGACGAGAAGCUUGCUUCUCUGAUGUUAGCGGCGGACGGGUGAGUAACACGUGGAUAACCUACCUAUAAGACUGGGAUAACUUCGGGAAACCGGAGCUAAUACCGGAUAAUAUUUUGAACCGCAUGGUUCAAAAGUGAAAGACGGUCUUGCUGUCACUUAUAGAUGGAUCCGCGCUGCAUUAGCUAGUUGGUAAGGUAACGGCUUACCAAGGCAACGAUGCAUAGCCGACCUGAGAGGGUGAUCGGCCACACUGGAACUGAGACACGGUCCAGACUCCUACGGGAGGCAGCAGUAGGGAAUCUUCCGCAAUGGGCGAAAGCCUGACGGAGCAACGCCGCGUGAGUGAUGAAGGCCUUCGGAUCGUAAAACUCUGUUAUUAGGGAAGAACAUAUGUGUAAGUAACUGUGCACAUCUUGACGGUACCUAAUCAGAAAGCCACGGCUAACUACGUGCCAGCAGCCGCGGUAAUACGUAGGUGGCAAGCGUUAUCCGGAAUUAUUGGGCGUAAAGCGCGCGUAGGCGGUUUUUUAAGUCUGAUGUGAAAGCCCACGGCUCAACCGUGGAGGGUCAUUGGAAACUGGAAAACUUGAGUGCAGAAGAGGAAAGUGGAAUUCCAUGUGUAGCGGUGAAAUGCGCAGAGAUAUGGAGGAACACCAGUGGCGAAGGCGACUUUCUGGUCUGUAACUGACGCUGAUGUGCGAAAGCGUGGGGAUCAAACAGGAUUAGAUACCCUGGUAGUCCACGCCGUAAACGAUGAGUGCUAAGUGUUAGGGGGUUUCCGCCCCUUAGUGCUGCAGCUAACGCAUUAAGCACUCCGCCUGGGGAGUACGACCGCAAGGUUGAAACUCAAAGGAAUUGACGGGGACCCGCACAAGCGGUGGAGCAUGUGGUUUAAUUCGAAGCAACGCGAAGAACCUUACCAAAUCUUGACAUCCUUUGACAACUCUAGAGAUAGAGCUUUCCCCUUCGGGGGACAAAGUGACAGGUGGUGCAUGGUUGUCGUCAGCUCGUGUCGUGAGAUGUUGGGUUAAGUCCCGCAACGAGCGCAACCCUUAAGCUUAGUUGCCAUCAUUAAGUUGGGCACUCUAAGUUGACUGCCGGUGACAAACCGGAGGAAGGUGGGGAUGACGUCAAAUCAUCGUGCCCCUUAUGAUUUGGGCUACACACGUGCUACAAUGGACAAUACAAAGGGCAGCGAAACCGCGAGGUCAAGCAAAUCCCAUAAAGUUGUUCUCAGUUCGGAUUGUAGUCUGCAACUCGACUACAUGAAGCUGGAAUCGCUAGUAAUCGUAGAUCAGCAUGCUACGGUGAAUACGUUCCCGGGUCU